GUAUUGAAAAAUAUGCACAAACAAAAUAUUAGCACAUUAAAAUCAUAUACUUUCCUCUGCUUACCAAUUUUUGCCGUUGGUCGCAUAGUUAGUUGAAC